rnacentral:lncRNA from 1 species
UGUGAGCUAACGGACCCAACCAUUCCAAGAUACCCGCCAUUGCGUCUGUCCACUCCUUCGCUAGCCCCGGAUCAUAAACCGCGGAAGAGCUCAAGUUUUUCGAGUACGGCUUUAGCCUCUCUCUCAACGAUUUUCUCACGCUCGCUGGUAACAUGUUGUAAAGGUCGUCUCUCGCAUCGUCGCCUAUCAAGUGGGGAGAUGCAACGAAUCUCUCUAUCACGAUGAUGACAUUAGCGUAGUGUAACGCUAAGCAAGCGGCGCCGAGGGUGUUAGGAGCAGCAUCUGACAACUUGGGUCUUUCAACGUGGACAGUGUUGGAACUUCCUUGGAGAAUCUGAUGAUGCUCUGCGCUACUAUGCCUAGCUCCGUUCUGGGUCCUAGUGCUGAGAGGAGUGAUACCGUCUUGAGACACCAUGCAGCCUUUAAAGGGACCAACCUGUGUUAAACGGUUGGGUUUUGACUGCUUUUUCGCUGAGGAGACCGAAGGCCUUUCCGGUGUCUGCACCACCGUCUUCUUGUUGUGUUUGCCCAUUCCCAUAAGCGGUCCUGAUUUGGAUGUGAACUUCCCGAGAGGACCCGAGUAAAACUUGAAACGUUUGUUCUUUUCUGGGGCAAGAGGACCUGACUUAGGGGACUGGGUAGUGAGUGAGCCCGAGAGGAAAUCACCCAUCUUCGUGGACUUUGUAGCAGCUGAGCCUGACGCUGGACCUGUGAAUCUCCCAAGAGGACCAGAAGCAAAUCUAGGAGGACGGGUGGUCUCGGACUGAUGCGUCAAAACAGUGGAAACAGAGUGGCCGCGAGCGAUGAAAUCAGAAUCCGCAGAGCUAACAUCGCUAUUACUUACCAAGAAUGAUGACGUCCCAUCGGAUGAUGUUGUACCGUGCAUAUCUAAAUAAUCCCUAAGGCGGGAAAAGCUCUCUCUCAUUGCAUGUAUGUUGUCUAUCCCAAAAAACACAAUCUGAAGAGAAACAGUGUCAGUAAGAACAAGCAGUUCAAGACGACAAAAAUAUUGAGCUUCAAACCAGGUCAUACUUCAGACUGCAAAUAAUUUGAAGAUGAUUCUGAGCCUCCUCCCAUUGCUCCAUUUGCUAACGCAUUUUUCCUAGGUCUUGCAUCUGCGAUGUAAAGCUUCCUAUGACAUAAAAAAACGAGAGUAAGUGCAUCUUUUAUAACAAAAUAGCAACAUUCAACCAUAUUGAAGAUAUGAACCAACAGAAUGUUAUUUUAUUCUACCCAAAUAGACCUUUCUAUAUAUUUCAGAAAUAAUCCCACGCCCAACUGGGCCAACAAUGAGUGGUUUAUCUCCAAGUUAUAUUCAUAUGCAAACGCAAAACCGUACACAAGAAAUGCACGCACAAGGAAGUGUCAUGGGCUUAAAGAUGAUAUAAAGGAGAUCAAUAGUAAAUCCACAUGUUAACUUUAACCAAAUGAGAACGAACAUAGGAAGCUCACCGUGGUGCUCCCUUGUGACCAGCUAACUGAGUGCAGAAUGAAGCAACAAGUUUUUCAUCAAAGUUACUGUUGAAAAAGAGCAAAAUAUUAGAAAACUUCAGAAUCUAUUACUUUGAGAUUCAAAAUAAGAAACUCAAUUAUCAUCACAAUUCUGGCAUGAAACUGAAACUUCUAUGUACCUCCUCAUGUUCAUCAUCAGACCAACUAAAGGUUGUGAAGAGCGAGCAAUCACAGCUCCAGUUCCUGCAAUUAAAGAUCAAAAAGAAACAUGUGUAAAUGCGGAAGCUAUACGAACAAAAUUCAAAUGGAAGCAACAGAACAGCUGCAUUUCUACCUGGAUGGCACCACGAGAUCACGGGCAGGCGACUUUUUGCCCGGAAAGUAGACGCUUGGGUCAGCUCUUCAUCACUGACAUAAAACAUACGGUAAUUUUAGUUCAAGCCUAUACUUUCCAGGAAGAUAGUUUAAACAAAAAAAAACAGAAACUCUAAACGCUGGUAGAGACCAAAUUAAACUCUUUUCAUUCAUGUUCAAAGAACCAAUGUCCUACCUAAUGGAUUUUGGAACCAUCAAAGCAAACGGAUAAGUCGGACACAAGUUAUAAUUCGAGUUCAAGUCAGUUAUCCGCCAAAAGUCAUUGGAAACUGAGAAUGAACCGUCUUUAAUCAUAUUCAUUGACGCUCGCAAUGAACCUUUUCCGAGAAGUCGAAAAUACUCGUUAAGCAAUCUUUCCUUUGGGUUUUUGUUGCCGAAUUUGGAAGGCCCACAUGUAAAAGCAUAAAGAUCCCAUACUCUCUCUAGAUUGCUACACCUCAAUAGUGCAUCAACUAGAGAACGUCUCUGCAAAGUUAUGCCAAUAAAAAUCAAAUAGGACCAUAUAGGCUUCAAAAGGAAAUGCAGAAAACGAGAGUCAAAGCUUCACCUGCUUGGUUCCAGGGCGAAAACCAUAGACAAUUAUCCUCAUAUCUUUGCCUGCAAAAUGCACAUGAUUCACAAGAAUAGUUUCAAAACUAACAUAAAGAAGGUAUCAGAUAACAAAAUCUCUCAACCAGUAUUAGUAUAGUGGUAUUGGUUAAGCAACAACAGAGGAGAAAGAAACAGAGUAAAGUAUCAGAGUGAAUUUUAAUAUAAGGUGUAUAAACCUGAUAAAACAAGACUACUGGAAUCAGUUUUAGCAAAUGGUGACACACGGAAACAUACCAGUGACCUGUAAAAGACGUUUUGGUGGAUUCUUGGUGGACUGAUGUCUGUUUGAAUGAACUUUCUGCACCUACAUACAUCACCCAACGACACAGAACAAACAAAUUAAAGCCCAUUUUCACUAAGAUUAAACUCAAAACGUUACUAAUAACUAAAAACUGACCGUUUUGUUAAACUUCUCGAUAGCCACCAGUGGAAUAGUACCAAGUGGAACAGGAUCUCUGGUUCCUUCCCUCUUCACAAAGAUUAAACAAGGAUUGAUUGAUGUGAUGCACCAUUUUAAACAUAACAAGACACAAAAGAAGAAGAAAGACAAGCCAUAAUACCAAAAAAAGAAUACGGAAAUUUGUGAGUAAGAGGGUCCCCGCUUCAUUGGUGUUUAUGAGUAUAACUCCACAACACUGUAAUCAACAGCCAUAACAAGAAUAUAAAUAAUUUUUCAACAAACACACACACACACACACAAAGACUCUCUGCAAUACAAUAAUCUUAUAUAAACCGCCUAACUACCUAGCGAUUUAUUUAACAUUGCUAAUUUUGAAGGAACGCUAAUGAGAUACCUCGAAGGUGAUCCUCUCAGAAUCCAGCAAGCAAUCCAAGUUUGAGUACGAGCUUGACCAAGAAGCUUGCUGAAAAGAGAAAAUAAUUAAACAUUAAACAUUAGGCGUCAAUCGAUUAACCCUAAUCAAUACCCAAUAAACAAGAUGAGCAACACGAUUGAAAAAGUUAAGAGAGGUAUACAUCGAGUUUGGUCCAUUCAAGCACGUCCCAGCUUCCGGUACCUUCCAUCUUCUCCGAAGAAUAUCGCAGCGAUCGUAAUCGCCUAGAGGAGUUUCUCGGCGCCGUCAUUUAAACGGUGACGAGGCUUCGCCUUUCUCUGCCUCUUAACGGUGGGAAACGACGGAUUUCGCACGCUGCCUUUUGUUUCGCUGCGAAGACAAUGAGACUCUCGAAUACGGCGUAGUUUCUUCCGUACGGCCAACGCUUUGCGUUUUAGACUUUUUUUUGUUUGAUUAAUAAUGGGCUUUCUUACCUAUUUUAAACAGAUUUUGUUGAUAAAAAGUCCUCUAAUGGAAAACUUGAGUGUAGUUUCGGAUAAUUAAAAUUUCAGCAAGAGAAAAAUUGGAUAAUGCAAAAAUAACAAUAACAAUGUUUUAAUUAUAAAUUAGAUAUAUAUAUAUAUUUUAAAUCGUAUUAUAAUAUCCCAAAAUGAAUUUAAAAACUGAAUUUGUAUUUGCAUGUGUAUGAUGAACCAUAUGUAUAUUUAUGAUCGUAUAAAGCAAACACCAUACGCAUUCGUAUUGUAUGCAAUAUACAAGAAUAUUAAUGGUGUAACCGUAUACGUAACUGAAUUUUGAGAUUUUUACCAAAAAAAAAAAAACUGAAUUUUGAGAUUUGCGACUUAUGAAUUGGUUUCCAUGAAGAACCCACACCAGUGACAUCACCAUACGAAUAAACUCUGACCGAGGGAACAACAAGCAGGAGUUAUAAUAAUACAGACAUAACUUGAACAAGUCGGAACUUAAAAUCCCCAAAUCAAGGAUUCUUCUGUAUCAUCACCAUUACAAUAAUCAAAAACAACCUUGGCACAUACGUAUAUGCAGCAGUAGUAUGUAUCAUCUCAACCACAAUAAAAUCUCGUAGAACAAUAUACAACGCAUCAUCACAUCCUACUACAAGUCAGAAUAGUUAAGGAGAUAAAGAUAAAAGAGACGCUCACAUACAUCAUAAUACCUCUCGUGGUAAUCUAGCAAUGUAACAGCUUUUCGUCCUCGGGUUUGGUCCAAGCUGCACGGUUUGGUUGAGUUCCAGUGCCAGUUUAGGUCAAAGAAGUAGUAAAAUAAAUCUAGUCUUGGAAAGCUUCGACUAGUUAUCUGUGUCUAAACAUUUCUCAAGGGUUUGACUACUAGUACACUCUUGAAGAGCCUUGGCGUUAAGCUCUCUGCCAUAUCUCCAGACAUAGUUGAGCCCGACAAGAAGCUCCGUGAUGAUGGUUUCUGUUUUCUGCUGGUUCGCAAAGAAGAGAGUCUGCGCGAGAACUAUGUGCGUCCUCGAAACCAAGCUCUGGUUCUCGUAACUCCUCUCGGACUGCCAUUUUAUCAUGUUGUGAGCUAACGGACCCAACCAUUCCAAGAUGCCCGCCAUUGCGUCUGUCCACUCCUUCGCUAGCCCCGGAUCAUAAACCGCGGAAGAGCUCAAGUUUUUCGAGUAGGGCUUUAGCUCCUCUCUCAGCGAUUUUCUCACGCUCGCAGGUAACAUGUUGUAUAGGUCGUCUCUCGCGUCGUCGCCUAUCAGAUGAGGAGAUGCAACAAACCUCUCUAUCACGAUGAUGACAUUAGCGUAGUGUAACGCUAAGCAAGCGGCGCCGAGGGUGUUAGGAGCAGCAUCUGACAACUUGGGUCUUUCAACGUGGACA